rnacentral:rRNA from 1 species
UACGUAGGAGGCAAGCGUUGUCCGGAAUUACUGGCGUAAAGCGCGUGUAGGUGGUGGGACAAGUCUGCUGUGAAAGCGCCUGGCUUAACCGGGCGAGGUCGGCGGAAACUGUCGCACUCGAGGACGGUAGAGGGGGGUGGAAUUCCCGGUGUAGUGGUGAAAUGCGUAGAGAUCGGGAGGAACACCUGUGGCGAAGGCGGCCCCCCUGGGCCGGCCCUGACACUGAGACGCGGAAGGCGUGGGGAGCGAACGGG